rnacentral:rRNA from 1 species
UCUGAUUAGCUAGUUGGUGGGGUAAAAGCCUACCAAGGCAGCGAUCAGUAGCUGGUCUGAGAGGAUGAGCAGCCACACUGGGACUGAGACACGGCCCAGACACCUACGGGAGGCAGCAGUGGGGAAUUUUCCGCAAUGGGCGAAAGCCUGACGGAGCAAUACCGCGUGAGGGAGGAAGGCCUUUGGGUUGUAAACCUCUUUUCUCAGGGAAGAAGAACUGACGGUACCUGAGGAAUAAGCAUCGGCUAACUCCGUGCCAGCAGCCGCGGUAAUACGGAGGAUGCAAGCGUUAUCCGGAAUCAUUGGGCGUAAAGCGUCCGCAGGUGGUUUUUCAAGUCUGCUGUUAAAGACUGGAGCUCAACUCCGGAAAGGCAGUGGAAACUGAGAAACUAGGGUUCGGUAGGGGUAGCGGGAAUUCCCAGUGUAGCGGUGAAAUGCGUAGAUAUUGGGAAGAACAUCGGUGGCGAAGGCGCGCUACUGGACCGAAACUGACACUCAGGGACGAAAGCUAGGGGAGCGAAAGGGAUUAGAUACCCCUGUAGUCCUAGCUGUAAACGAUGGAAACUAGGUGUGGCUUGUAUCGACCCGAGCCGUGCCGUAGCUAACGCGUUAAGUUUCCCGCCUGGGGAGUACGCACGCAAGUGUGAAACUCAAAGGAAUUGACGGGGGCCCGCACAAGCGGUGGAGUAUGUGGUUUAAUUCGAUGCAACGCGAAGAACCUUACCAGGGCUUGACAUGUCGCGAAUCUCCUUGAAAGGGGAGAGUGCCUUCGGGAGCGCGAACACAGGUGGUGCAUGGCUGUCGUCAGCUCGUGUCGUGAGAUGUUGGGUUAAGUCCCGCAACGAGCGCAACCCUCGUCUUUAGUUGCCAGCAUUAAGGUGGGCACUUUAGAGAGACUGCCGGUGACAAACCGGAGGAAGGUGGGGAUGACGUCAAGUCAGCAUGCCCCUUACGCCCUGGGCUACACACGUACUACAAUGGUUGGGACAAAGGGCAGCGACCCCGCGAGGGAAAGCGAAUCUCAUCAAACCCAGCCUCAGUUCAGAUUGCAGGCUGCAACUCGCCUGCAUGAAGGAGGAAUCGCUAGUAAUCGCAGGUCAGCAUACUGCGGUGAAUUCGUUCCCGGGCCUUGUACACACCGCCCGUCACACCAUGGAAGCUGGUCACGCCCGAAGUAGUUACCCUAACCUUUCGGGGGGGGGGACUCC